rnacentral:rRNA from 1 species
GGAAACUGGGGCUAAUACCGGAUAGGAGCUCCUGCUGCAUGGUGGGGGUUGGAAAGUUUCGGCGGUUGGGGAUGGACUCGCGGCUUAUCAGCUUGUUGGUGGGGUAGUGGCUUACCAAGGCUUUGACGGGUAGCCGGCCUGAGAGGGUGACCGGCCACAUUGGGACUGAGAUACGGCCCAG